CCUACGGGUGGCUGCAGUGAGGAAUAUUGGUCAAUGGGCGCGAGCCUGAACCAGCCAAGUAGCGUGAAGGAUGACUGCCCUACGGGUUGUAAACUUCUUUUAUAAAGGAAUAAAGUGAGGCACGUGUGCCUUUUUGUAUGUACUUUAUGAAUAAGGAUCGGCUAACUCCGUGCCAGCAGCCGCGGUAAUACGGAGGAUCCGAGCGUUAUCCGGAUUUAUUGGGGUUAAAGGGAGCGUAGAGGGGUUGUUAAGUCGGUUGUGAAAGUUGGGGGCUCAACCGUAAAAUUGCAAUUGAUACUGGCAGCCUUGAGUACAGGAGAGGUAGGCGGAAUUCGUGGUGUAGCGGUGAAAUGCUUAGAUAUCACGAAGAACUCCGAUUGCGAAGGCAGCUUACUAAACUGCCACUGACGUUGAUGCUCGAAAGUGUGGGUAUCAAACAGGAUUAGAUACCCGGGUAGUC
rnacentral:rRNA from 1 species